AUUGAACGCUGGCGGCAGGCCUAACACAUGCAAGUCGAACGAGUGGCGGACGGGUGAGUAAUUUCUGGGAAACUGCCUGAUUGAGGGGGAUAACUACUGGAAACGGUAGCUAAUACCGCAUACCAUCGGAUGUGCCCAGAUGGGAUUAGCUAGUAGGUGGGAUAACGGCUCACCUAGGCGACGAUCCCUAGCUGGUCUGAUAGGAUGACCAGCCACCCUGGAACUGAGACACGGUUCAGACGUCUACGGGAGGCAGAAGUGGGGAACAGUGCACAAGUGGCGCAAGCCUGAGGCAGCCAUGCCGCGUGUAUGAAGAAGGCCUUCGGGUUGUAAAGUACUUUCAGCGGGGAGGCGUUACCCGCAGAAGAAGCACCGGCUAACUCCGUGCCAGCAGCCGCGGUAAUAC
rnacentral:rRNA from 1 species